rnacentral:lncRNA from 1 species
GCAAACCAGAGGGCUGGGAAGAAAGCUCGGUGGGUAAGAGCUCUGGCUGCUCUUUAGAGGACCCAGGUUCAAUUCCAGCACUCACAUGCAGGUUCACUACCAUCUGUAACUCCAGUCCCAGGGGAUCCAGCACCCUCUUCUGGCUUCCUUGGCGCUGCGUGCAUGUGUUGCACAGACAGGCAGGUAAAGCACUUCACGCAUAAGAAAAAAACAAGAAAGAAAGCAAGCGUCUUGUGAUGGUAUGUACUGACUUAAUGGAUUCUAGAGCUUCAGUUGAUCCAACACUAGCCUUUUCUUUUCUUCCUUUCUUUCUUUCUUUCUUUCUUUCUUUCUUUCUUUCUUUCUUUCUUUCUUUCUCUCUUUAUUUCUUUCUUUCUUUCCUUUCUUUCUUUCUUUCUUCUUGCCACAUCUCUGAUGUCUUUCAUCACUGUAGCUUUUCUCUGACUCACAAUGUGAGUUAAAAAAAAAAUACAGUUUUCUUAUUUAAUAAAAUUGUACAAUGUUAAAGAAGUAUGAAAAAUUAAAACAAGGUAAUUUGCCAAGUCAUGGAGAGAGGGACAACAUCAGAUACACGGUCAAUUGAGCUCAGACUUGAGUGACAAGAGGGAAGAAGAUGUUAGAACUUCUUUUCGCCACAUUGUGUGUGAACAUGUAUGUGUGCUGAAGUCGCCACACUCCCGGGGAUUGAGCUCAUAUCAGCAGGCUUGCAAGCAAGAGCUUUUACCUGCUGAGCCAUCUCAGCAGUCCUAUUCUUGUAACACAUCUCCAGGUAGUUCGAAAGUCAGGAAAGACUUGGUUAGGGCCACAACUGUUUCCUUCUAUUGGCCCAGUCUUUGGACAUUUGGGCCCUUUAUGAUUUGCCUGUUUCUCCUGUUCUCAUCACUGUGUCAGGUUCCCUUUCUGUAGCUUAGGCUAUCUCCUCUCAUCUGUUCUUGGGUUCAAAAACCAAUCAAUUUAAGCUGUGACUCUGUUAUUAAUGGUUUGACUUGUAUGUGUAUUUUCUCAUAAUUUAUAAAGAAAGGGACCAAAGGAUUAAAUUUGGUAAAACUUGAACCCUAGUAAGAAGCUUU